UACGGGGGGGGGCAAGCGUUGUUCGGAAUUACUGGGCGGAAAGGGCUCGUAGGCGGCCAACUAAGUCGGACGUGAAAUCCCUCGGCUCAACCGGGGAACUGCGUCCGAUACUGGAUGGCUCGAGUCCGGGAGAGGGAUGCGGAAUUCCAGGUGUAGCGGUGAAAUUCGUAGAUAUCGGGAGGAACACCGGUGGCGAAGGCGGCGACCUGGGUGGAUACUGACGCUGAGGUGCGAAAGCGUGGGGAGCAAACAGG
rnacentral:rRNA from 1 species